rnacentral:rRNA from 1 species
CAAUAGCGUAUAUUAAAGUUGUUGCGGUAAAAAAGCUCGUAGUUGGAUUUCUACCGAAGAUAGCCGGUCGGGUCUUCGACCUUGUAUCUGGUUUUGUCUUUGGUAUCCUCAUAGGGAACGUUUCUGCGCUUUAUUGCGUGGUGCGGUAUCUAUGACUUUUACUUUGAGGAAAUUAGAGUGUUCACGGCAGGCAAACGCCUUGAAUAUAUUAGCAUGGAAUAAUAACAUAGGAUCUUCGUCCUAUUUUGUUGGUUUCUAGGGCUAAGAUAAUGAUUAAUAGGGAUAAUUGGGGGCAUCUGUAUCAACGCGUCAGAGGUGGAAUUCUUGGAUUGCGUUGCGACAAACUACUGCGAAAGCAUUUGCCAAGGAUGUUAUCAUUGA